rnacentral:misc_RNA from 1 species
ACAAAGAUUAUUAUUAUUAUUAGUAUUUUCUAUAAAUUGGCUUCGACUAGAAUUCAAAUUUGACAUCUCAUAUUCUUAAAAAUGACUCCAUUACUAUUGAAUUAAAACUCAUUUGCCAUAUACAUAUUAUUUAAUUGUAUGUUUGUGUAUUGUAACUCCAAUUAUACCUGACAUAGUUAUGAUGUAAUAUAUACUAUUUAUCUUGGAGGGAAGAAAAAGAGAAAAAGAGCCUUGAGAUUGACUCAAUAAAGCUACAUUCAUCUCAUCUCAUUUCAUUGCCUCAAUAUUAAUUCCAUAAAAUUCAAACUUACAACUUUUUUAUUUCUGUCAUUACAUUUUGCCUC